rnacentral:rRNA from 1 species
AGGACUAACGCUGGCGGCGUGCCUAACACAUGCAAGUCGAACGGGGGUAGCAAUACCCCAGUGGCAGACGGGUGAGUAACACGUGGUCAACCUACCUCUGUGUGGGGGAUAACUAGCCGAAAGGUUAGCUAAUACCGCAUACGAUCGUUUUGAGGCAUCUCGAGACGAUGAAAGGAGCAAUCCGCACGGAGAGGGGACUGCGUCCCAUUAGUUAGUUGGUGGGGUAACGGCCUACCAAGACUCCGAUGGGUAGCUGGCUUGAGAGAGCGACCAGCCACACUGGAACUGAGACACGGUCCAGACUCCUACGGGAGGCAGCAGUGAGGAAUUUUCCGCAAUGGGCGAAAGCCUGACGGAGCGACGCCGCGUGUGGGAUGAAGGCCUUCGGGUCGUAAACCACUGUCGAAGGGGACGAUAUUGACGGUACCCUUGGAGGAAGCCCCGGCUAACUACGCGCCAGCAGCCGC